UGCCAGCCGCCGCGGUAAUACGGAGGGUGCAAGCGUUAAUCGGAAUUACUGGGCGUAAAGGGUGCGUAGGUGGUUUGGUAAGUUAUGUGUGAAAUCCCAGGGCUUAACCUUGGAGGGUCAGAUAAUACUGCCGAACUAGAGUAUGAGAGAGGGUAGUGGAAUUUCCGGUGUAGCGGUGAAAUGCGUAGAGAUCGGAAGGAACACCAGUGGCGAAGGCGGCUACCUGGACUGAUACUGACGCUGAGGUGCGAAAGCGUGGGGAGCAAACAGGAUUAGAUA
rnacentral:rRNA from 1 species